ACGUCUCUGUGCCUGCUAGUGAAUGGUGGGUCUGAUUUAACUAAGAAAUAUAUCAAUAAUUGUUAGGUGAGAUCAUAGGACUUAGAGAUCGAAUCUACUACAAUGGACAAGGUGUUGUCCACUCAUUGGUUCAUAUGUCACCAAUAACUGUUAGGUGAGGUGCACAUGGAUCAGUAGGAGCAUAGUACCCACUUGAAACUGAUCACGUAUAAGUUUUCAUUUCUCUA
rnacentral:lncRNA from 1 species